rnacentral:piRNA from 1 species
UGGGACUUAACUCAUGGGAACUUCGCAAA